rnacentral:rRNA from 1 species
GUGUCAGCAGCCGCGGUAAUACGGAGGAUGCAAGCGUUAUCCGGAUUCAUUGGGUUUAAAGGGUGCGCAGGCGGAAUGAUAAGUCAGUGGUGAAAUCCUACGGCUCAACCGUAGAACUGCCAUUGAUACUGUCGUUCUUGAGUACACUUGAAGUGGGCGGAAUGUGUCAUGUAGCGGUGAAAUGCUUAGAUAUGACAAGGAACACCGAUCGCGAAGGCAGCUCACUAAAGUGUUACUGACGCUCAGGCACGAAAGCGUGGGGAUCAAACAGGAUUAGAAACCCGCGUAGUCC